GCUCAUCCUCACUCAACUGAAGUUGCUGCUUUUGAAUUUUACACCAAGCUGGAGGUCUGAGGGAAUAUUACUGUGAACUUUUGAAGUUGCAGUGUGUGAGUAUCUGGUAUUCUUGUGAUGCCUUAGCAUGGAGAUGGAGUCACAGGUCUCCUUGGACUCUACGGUACAUUCUCACAAUGAGAAUACUUCAAUUCAGCAUGGGGAUACUGGCAUAACAUCAUCAACCCCAGAUCAUGUAAAGCCACAACAGCCAGCAAAAAAA
rnacentral:misc_RNA from 1 species